rnacentral:tRNA from 1 species
AGUCCCGUAGCUCAGCUUGGUUAGAGCGCUACACUGAUAAUGUAGAGGUCCCCAGUUCAAGUCUGGGCGGGACUAC